CUCUCUCUCUCUCUCUCUCUCUCUCUCUCUCUCUCUCUCUCUCUCUCUCUCUCUCUCUCUCUCUCUCUCUCUCUGCAUUGUACAAAUUAGUAGGUAGCCUUAAUAUGGUUCAUCAUGGCCUCUUAAUGAAAAUGCAAGGCAUCUUUGUAGUCAUGAAUUUUUUUUGAGUAUUUGGUGGGGGGAGCUAUGGAGGGGGAAGGGGAUAGUGAGAGGUGAACCUCUAUCUCAUAGCUCCAACAAGUACUGAUGAGUACCAAAACUCCCUAAGGUUAAUAGUUCUAACGAAAGACUAUCUUUAAUCCAAAUAAUUCGUAUGGUACUUUUAGCUCAUACUAAUAUGUGGUCUUUUAUUCAACCAAAUUAUCUAAGGUUGAUGCUUGAACUUGAAUUAAUGCAAGGUACGUAUACAGUACCUUGCAUUAAUUAGGCCUAGCUAGAAUAAGUAGUAGAUAAAGUACAGAACUUCAAUAAAUGCUGCUUGUCCAUAAUUAAGCACUAUAACGAUAAUCAAAUUAUGUUAAGGCUGGUAAUCGUAUAUAGAAUAGGUAUUUACAGCCAUUAAUCCUUCCAACUUCUAUAUAUAUAUUUUUGUUACUUUAAAGUUCGUAGUCAUUAAAAUUGAAUUCCCCUAGCUCGUUCUUAAACUAGCUUCAUCUGGUAAAAUCCGGUUGCCGUUACUGGUAAUUAAGACAGCAUUCACAACAUUGUACUGUUGAAUUAGCCUUAGAUCAUUUGCAAUCCAUGCAUGCAUAUGAUUGCAGCAUAAUAUCAGUUCUGCCUAUAUAUACAUAUAUACAUACUAGCUUGUUGAGACACGCACUCUGUACACAGUUUCCUCCUCAAUUAAUUUAAUUACAUUUGCUGUUAGUAUAUAUCAGUCCCCAACUAAUUUCCUCCUAGAUAGAGUUGCAGCAUAUAGAUCAAAAGGGCAUAUUCAAGAUACACAGAGAAUCAAUAAUUGCUUGUCCAAGUUAAUAGAUUUAGGAGGACAGGUUGUUCAGAAUAUAUGUUGGGUGGAUUAUAUUGUUGAAGUGUCAAAAACUUAGUGUUGAAGUGUCAAAAAGCUGGUUGCCUUCUAGUUAAAGUUUUCCUGCUUCCUCCCAAUACAUGCCACAUUUUUAAAGUUUUUGGUGUUGUGACUGAGAAAUAGAUUUGGGUUUAAGUCUUUCGAUGCACAUGACUACUCAGAUCGCGUUCUGUUGCUUAAAAGUCAGUCCACUACAUGUAGGUAAUUAGGAAUCAACCUAUCUGACAAUUCAUAUGAGAUAAUUACUUGGAGAUUAAUGAAAGCCUUAAAACUAGGUUGGUGGUUAAGAGUAUUAGCCCCUAGAUUUUUAGCGUUUGACCAUUUUAUGAUGUUAGAUGCAUAAUGAUCCACUUAUGCAUAUUUCUGUUAAACAAUGGUAGAAGACUUGCUAUAUAUGGUUACAAGUUUAAGCUGGUUAUCCAGUCUCUAAACGAGGGGUUGAAUAAUUUGUUCAAAUGUAACUUUUUUUUUAAUCCCAGAUUUUUAGCAAGUGUUGCUACUAGACAAAUGUGUACACCAUAUAGCCAUAGAAUCUCAUCUUAGGCUCACAAGAGAUGGAAACACAGAAGUGGUGUCACGAAAUGGGAAAUAUUGUUGUGCAGAGUACCCACUUUGCACUGUGAGGGAUCCUGCUAAGGAUUGAGAUUAGCAGUGUAUAAAUAUUAUACCCAAUACUGCCUUCUAUCUCACAUGAAUUUUUUUGCUGUCUUUCCUCUCUUAGAUGUCCGUAUCAAUGUAUAGUAAUAUCGAUUUGUCGGCAGUGUGUAUGCAGGACCACUGGGAGCAGUAUUGAUUUAAAAGUGGGGUUGACUGAGCCUUUGAGAGGAAUUGGGCAGACUUGAGCAGCCGGGGGUGAGUCCCUUACUCUGUUUCGUAUUGAAGAUGGAGAGAAGUUGGAUGAAUGAGCCCGAUAGACUUUUAUCACCUGCAUAUGCCGAAGGUGUUAAAAUAUUCCUCACACAAGCACGAAACCAUGCGGGCACACGGGAUCGCAUUCGGUGUCCAUGCCGUACAUGUCUUAACAAUCUGUGGCUCCCUAUAUUUGAGGUUGAAUCUCAUUUAUUUAUUAAAGGGAUCAAUCCAAACUACACCCAUUGGAUAUUUCAUGGGGAGGAGGAGACAACAUUGGACGUCAGUGACGAUGAUGUUGGUGACGAGUUUAUGGUCGAAGAUGAGUAUAUCGAUGACAUGCAGCAUAUGUUGGAUGACGUACGGGCAGGCACCUUUGUUGAUGUGCCCCAAGAAAACACUGCUACGCCAAACACUCCACCAUUACCUGAAGAUUCUCCAGCAACUGCUUUUGAGAAACUACUGGAUGAUGCUCGACGUCCUCUUUUCGACGGGUGUACAAAAUUCACAAAGUUGUCAUUCAUUGUCAAGUUAUUACACAUCAAAUCAAUCGGUGGAUGGUCAAUUAAGUCAUUUGACUUGCUCCUUGAUCUGUUGCGGUCAUCUUUUCCUGAUGCGCUCUUGCCACAAUAAUAUGAGGAAGCAAGGUCUUUGGAGCGCGGGUUGGGUUUCAAGUACGACAAAAUCCAUGCGUGCCCCAAUGACUGCAUCUUAUUCUGGAAGGAAAAUGCCGCUCUUAAUGAAUGCCCUGUAUGUAAGGCUUCGAGGUGGAUGGCAAAUGCACACGGCUCACGCGUUAUACCUCAAAAAGUGUUGCGCCAUUUUUCAUUGAAACCGAGAUUGCAGCGUCUUUUUAUGUCUGCAAAGAUAGCAGGUGAUAUGAGAUGGCAUAAAGAGCAACGGGCGAUAGAAGAUACUAGUAUGAGACAUCCGGCUGACUCUGAGUGUUGGAAGAGAUUUGAUGAACAUCAUAGUUGGUUUGCUGCGGAUCCACGCAAUGUUAGGCUCGGUCUGGCCUGUGACGGAUUCACUCCCUUCAACAACUUGGCUAAGCCCCAUAGCAUUUGGCCAGUGAUCCUUGUCCCGUAUAACUUGCCGCCGUGGUCAUGCAUGAAAGAUCAAUACUUUAUGACUUCUUUGAUUAUUCCUGGCCCAAAGUCACCAGGGAAUGAGAUCGAUGUGUACUUGCAGCCGUUGCUUGAUGAACUGCUUGAAUUGUGGGAAUAUGGGGUAUCAACAUAUGAUGCCGUAUCUAAGGAGACGUUUAUGUUGCAUGCUGCAUUGUUGUGGACAAUCAAUGACUUCCCUGCCUACGGGAAUAUUUCUGGUUGGUCAACAAAGGGAAAAUUAGCUUGUCCGUCUUGCAAUGCUGAGGGUGACUACAAUUGGCUGAAAUAUGGCCGAAAACAUUGUUAUAUGGGACACCGACGCUUCUUACCGCUAGAUCACAUAUGGAGAAAACGGAAAGGAUUGUUCAACGGUAAAGAAGAUCAUCGCAUGCCGCCAAGACAGCUAGGAGGAUACGAUAUUCUGACUCAAUUACAGAUGAUUGGGGAUGUUCAGUUUGGCAAAUCUCGAAGGAAGAGAAAACGUACUGCUGAAGAGCUGAACUGGACAAAGUGUAGCAUAUUCUUCCAGUUACCUUAUUGGUCAACACUUCAACUUCGGCAUAAUUUAGAUGUUAUGCAUAUUGAGAAGAAUAUUACCGAAAACAUCUUAUUCACUUUGUUCAACACUCCAGGAAAAACUAAAGACAAUAUAAAUUCAAGGCGUGACUUGGAGAUAUUGGGUUAUAGAAAAGAAUUACAUUUGAGGCGUGAGGGUGAUCAUGUAACAAUGCCACAUGCACUGUACACAUUACACGGAGAUGAAAGGCAUAAAUUUUGUGAGUGGCUGUCCGAGAUCAAAUUUCCUGAUGGGUUCUCUUCCAAUAUCUCGAAUUGUGUUUCUCUACGUGAUUGCAAAAUUGCCGGGUUAAAAAGCCACGAUUAUCAUGUUUUCCUUCAAAGACUACUCCCAAUUGUUGCUGGGGGUUUCUAAGAAGUGACAUUGCCUUGGCUUUGACUGAACUGAGCACGUUCUUCAAAGAGUUGUGCGCUCGAAAACUGGAUGUGAAUCGCCUAUCUCAGCUCCAAACUGAUAUCGUCACCAUUCUAUGCAAACUGGAGAUGAUAUUCCCUCCCUCAUUUUUCGAUGUCAUGGUCCACCUAGCUGUCCAUUUGCCUCGUGAGGCCAUACUUGGGGGUCCAGUACAAUAUAGAUGGAUGUACCCAUUUGAGAGAUACCUCGGAAAAUUCAAACGGUAUGUUAAGAAUAAAGCCCGACCAGAAGGUUCAAUAGCCGAGGCCUACAUUCACACUGAAUGCCUGACUUUUUGCUCUAUAUACCUAAAAGAUGUUGAGACGAAGUUCAAUCGAGCGGACCGCAAUGUUGAUGCUGACGAAGAGGAGACUAUAGAUGGAUUCAGAAUUUUCAAUCAGAAAGUUCGUUCCUUGGGUUCAGCUUCUAAUGUGCAAUUAGAAGAUAAACUCUUUAAAGCAGCCAUUUGGUAUGUGCUCAACAAUUGUCAGGAGAUUGGACCAUAUAUACAGGAACACUACGAGAAAUGUAAGGUGCAACACCCAAAUUGCAUCGAUCGCAUGCAUCAAACUAACUUUCCAACUUGGUUCAAGCACCGUAUCCAAGAACAUCGUACCCAGCAUCCACAUGAUGUGUCCGCUGAUCUGUAUGCGUUAGCUUGCGGGCCUGACCGUUGGGUUGCAUCAUAUGAUGCUUGCAUAAUAAAUGGAAAAAGGUUUCAUACGAGACAGUGUGAACUUCGUCGGCGUACACAAAAUUCUGGGGUGUUGGUAACGGGGGACGAGGCCACAAAUAACGUUGACUUUUACGGUGUUAUUAAUAAUAUCGUAGAGUUACGCUACAUGGAGUGGCGUCGGGUAUACCUAUUUGAAUGUGAUUGGUUUGAUGUUGGUGAUCGAAAACGAGGGGUGCGGGUGGAUGACCAUAUGAUUAGUGUCAACAUGAAUAGGACUUGGUAUAAGGGUGAACCAUUCGUGUUGGCGAGCCAGGCUGAUCAAUGUUUCUACAUAAGAGAUUUAAGAUCGAAAGGGAAUUGGGGUGUUGUGCAAACCUAUACAAAUAGGAAUGUAUAUAACAUUCCUUCAGUGUCACGGAAUCUGGAAGAUAUUAAUGAUGGGGAGCCAAGUACAAAUGAGGCCGAUCAAGAAAAUGAGUCUUCAGAUUACUAUGAACCAGUUCAGUGUGGUAAUGCAGAUCCAGUGUCAACUCCAUUGGAUAGGAAUGAUAUACCACCUACCUAUAUUGAAGCACAAGAAGUCAUGGAUGUGCAUGGUCAAUGCAUAGAUUCAACAGGCUUUAUUAAUGAUGCCAUGAUUUCUUCUGGUUCUGGAGAUGCGUAUAGUGAGGGGGAAUAUUCAGAUGAAGAGGACCUAUCAACAGACGAAGAGUCUGUGUCAGAUAUACCAUGAACACUCCAAAAACUUCUUCUACUUAAGGUGAGAGUAAAACAAGAGCGGAUCGCUUUAUUGUAGUCGCUGCACAGACAGAUUUGGGAGGGGAUUUGGUUUCUUAGAUAUCGAUAUAUUUAUCAUGCAAUCCCAUCUUCAAGCUGGAGGCAUGAGCGGCACGGCUAAUUACCAAGGUGACCGAGCGGGACCCAGUACUAGGGGCGGAGGGAGACUCAGGGGUUUUCGUGCGAGGCGGCAUGUACCGUACUCGGCCCGCCACAACCGUCCUCGGGGAGCGAAGAUCUCCUCAUAUCACAGUCCUGAGGAUUGUAAU